UNCAAUGCUAGAAUGUCCUCUACCGUUGA
rnacentral:piRNA from 1 species